rnacentral:tRNA from 1 species
GUCUAGGUAGCUCAGCGCGGUAGAGCAGCGAGCGCAAUGCAGCUCGCGGGUUCGACUCCCGCCCUAGACC